rnacentral:rRNA from 1 species
UGAAUACGAGAUGCUAAGGCGUCGAAGUAGUGUAUGUCAUGCUUCCAAGAAAAGCUUGCAAUGUCAUAAAUAAAAAGUGCCUGUACCAUAACCGACACAGGUGGGUAAGUAGAGUAUACUAAGGGGCGCGAGAUAACUCUCUCUAAGGAACUCGGCAAAAUAACUCCGUAACUUCGGGAGAAGGAGUGCCUUAUUCUUAAGGUUGCAAUAACAAGAUCCAAGCAACUGUUUAUCAAAAACACAGGUCUCCGCUAAGUCGUAAGACGAUGUAUGGGGGCUGACGCCUGCCCAGUGCCAGAAGGUUAAAGAAGUCGGUUAGCAUUUGCGAAGCUGGUAACUGAAGCCCUGGUGAACGGCGGCCGUAACAAUAACGGUCCUAAGGUAGCGAAAUUCCUUGUCGGGUAAGUUCCGACCCGCACGAAAGGCGUAAUGAUUUGGAUGCUGUCUCGGAGAGGGGCUCGGUGAAAUAGACUUGUCUGUGAAGAUGCGGACUACCUGCACCAGGACAGAAAGACCCUAUGAAGCUUUACUGUAACUUGAAAUUGAAAUUGGACUUUAUUCGCGCAGUAUAGGUGGGAGGCGUUGAUUAUAAUCUUGCGGGAUUAUCGGAGCCAUCAGUGAGAUACCACUCUUCUAAUGUUAGAUUUCUAACUUUGAAUCAUUAUCUGGUCAAAGGACAAUUUCAGGCGGGCAGUUUGACUGGGGCGGUCGCCUCCUAAAUGGUAACGGAGGCGUACAAAGGUUUCCUCUGAACGGUUAGAAAUCGUAUCUAGAGUGUAAAGGCAUAAGGAAGCUUGACUGUGAGACCUACAAGUCGAGCAGGGACGAAAGUCGGUCUUAGUGAUCUGACGGUACUGAGUGGAAAGGCCGUCACUCAACGGAUAAAAGUUACUCUAAGGAUAACAGGCUGAUCUCCCCCAAGAGUUCACAUCGACGGGGAGGUUUGGCACCUCGAUGUCGGCUCAUCGCAUCCUGGGGCGGUAGUACGUCCCAAGGGUUGGGCUGUUCGCCCAUGAAAGCGGUACGCGAGCUGGGUUCAGAACGUCGUGAGACAGUUCGGUCCAUAUCCGGUGUAGGCGUUAGAAUAUUGAGAGGAGCCUUCUUUAGUACGAGAGGACCGAGAAGGACAUACCUCUGGUGUACCAGUUAUCGUGCCAACGGUAAACGCUGGGUAGCUAUGUAUGGAGUGGAUAACCGCUGAAAGCAUCUAAGUGGGAAGCCCACCUCAAGAUAAGUAUUCUC